AAAAAAUUAGUUUACCAAAACCUUAGUAUGUCAAACUAAAAAGAUUAAUUUAAUUUAAUAUUUUUUA
rnacentral:tRNA from 1 species